AACAAGGAUUCCCCUAGUAACGGCGAGUGAAGCGGGAAGAGCUCAAAUUUAAAAUCUGGCGGUGCAUUCCGUCCGAGUUGUAGUCUAGAGAAGCGUCAUCCGCGCCGGACCAUGUACAAGUCUCUUGGAACAGAGCGUCAUAGAGGGUGAGAAUCCCGUCCUUGACAUGGACUCCCGGUGCUUUGCGUUGCGCUCUCAACGAGUCGAGUUGUUUGGGAAUGCAGCUCAAAACGGGUGGUAAAUUCCAUCUAAAGCUAAAUAUUGGCGAGAGACCGAUAGCGAACAAGUACCGUGAGGGAAAGAUGAAAAGCACUUUGGAGAGAGAGUUAAACAGUACGUGAAAUUGUUAAAAGGGAAAC
rnacentral:rRNA from 1 species